rnacentral:rRNA from 1 species
ACGAACGCUGGCGGCGUGCUUAACACCUGCAAGUCGAACGGAAAGGCCCUGCUUUUGUGGGGUGCUCGAGUGGCGAACGGGUGAGUAACACGUGAGUAACCUGCCCUUGACUUUGGGAUAACUUCAGGAAACUGGGGCUAAUACCGGAUAGGAGCUCCUGCUGCAUGGUGGGGGUUGGAAAGUUUCGGCGGUUGGGGAUGGACUCGCGGCUUAUCAGCUUGUUGGUGGGGUAGUGGCUUACCAAGGCUUUGACGGGUAGCCGGCCUGAGAGGGUGACCGGCCACAUUGGGACUGAGAUACGGCCCAGACUCCUACGGGAGGCAGCAGUGGGGAAUAUUGCACAAUGGGCGGAAGCCUGAUGCAGCAACGCCGCGUGCGGGAUGACGGCCUUCGGGUUGUAAUCCGCUUUCGCCUGUGACGAAGCGUGAGUGACGGUAAUGGGUAAAGAAGCACCGGCUAACUACGUG